GGCCGGUACUAAGGUGCAGAGAUGCGCUUGGUGCAGAGGGACGACCUCCUCAUCAUCACGGAGCCCAAGUGCAUGGUCAUGUCUGUCGUUAUCGCCCAUGGAGAGAAGAGGUCUUAAGAUGCACCUGCUGACCUGCUGAUAGAUUGGGGAAAGAAGUGUCUGAUGCUACACUUGCUACAUGGUUGGGGGCUUAUCAAAGCCCCCAUAGGGGAGAGGAGAUCCGCACAGGCGCAGGCGGAAACUAUCAGCUCCUGGGAGAGGACCACGCAGACAGAGUAGGGGAAACAGCCCUGGGGCUCCCACUCAGGAAGCUUUUCUCCUCUCGUUGGUUGAGAACGAAUAGAGUGUAACCAUCACCUGGGACAGUGGGGAAUGUUUUACUCAGUAAGCCCAACAAAGCUUCAAGACAAAAACCCAAAAGACCAAAGUUUGCAAAUGAGUUUCCUGCUAGCCACCUCAAGACACAUAUACUGGCACACACGGAGUCUCCAGUCACUGGGAGAAA
rnacentral:lncRNA from 1 species